CGCCCCCUGACUCCGCGGUGGCCCUGCUGCAGGCCAGUCGCUCCAGCCCCGGCCGCCUGACCGCGGACUCCGCGACCCUGUUCUCCGGCCUGUGCGCCCCGGAGCAGCUCGGGACCACCCAGCGCCGACAUGGGAAAGUCUUUUUCUCAUUUGCCUUUGCAUUCAACUAAAGAAGAUGCUUACGGUGGAGUCGCAUCCACUGAAAACAUGAGGAACGGGCUGGUUGGUAAUGAAGUCCAUAAUGAAGAUGGAAGAAGUGGAGAUGUCUCUCAGUUUCCAUAUGUGGAAUUUACGGGAAGAGACAGUGUCACCUGCCCCACUUGUCAAGGAACAGGAAGAAUUCCUAGGGGGCAAGAAAACCAGCUGGUGGCAUUGAUUCCAUAUAGUGAUCAGAGAUUAAGGCCAAGAAGAACAAAACUGUAUGUGAUGGCUUCUGUGUUUGUCUGUCUGCUGAUUUCUGGAUUGGCUGUGUUUUUCCUUUUCCCUCGGUCUAUCGACGUGAAAUACAUCGGUGUCAAAUCAGCAUACGUCGGUUAUGAUGAUGAAAAGCGUACAAUAUAUUUAAAUAUCACAAAUACGCUAAAUAUAACAAACAAUAACUAUUAUGCUGUUGAAGUUGAAAACAUCACUGCACAAGUUCAGUUUUCAAAAACAGUUAUUGGAAAGUCACGCUUAAACAACAUAACAAACAUUGGUCCACUGGAUAUGAGACAGAUUGAUUACACAGUACCUACUAUCAUAGCAGAGGAAAUGAGUUAUAUGUAUGACUUCUGUACACUGCCAUCCAUCAAAGUGCAUAACAUAGUUCUCAUGAUGCAAGUCACUGUGACAACAACAUACUUUGGACACUCUGAACAGAUAUCCCAGGAGAGGUACCAGUACGUCGACUGUGGAAGGAACACGACUUAUCAGCUGGGGCAGUCUGAGUACCUGAAUGUCCUUCAGCCACAACAGUGAAAGCUGGACAAGAUGCAGCUAGAGAAGAAGAAACAGUAUUGAUUUUUUUUUUUAAUCCUCACCUGAGGAUAUUUUUCUAUUGAUUUUUAGAGAGAGUCGGAGGUAGAGAGAGACAGAGAAACAGUGAUGUUUAGAGAGACAAUGGGGUCGGGGAUUGAGCCUGCAACUGAGAAUCAUCCUUCAGAUACGUCUUCUACAAAAAUCAAUCCUAAUUUAUUUUCUUGCUUUGUAUCUUUUAACCUUGGAAAAUUAUAUAGUGUAAAUUAAAUGGAUUUUUUUGUUGAUUUGUGGUUCUAAAAUACUUUUGGAUUCAUAGUAUCUAAUGAAGAGGCAGGAAAGUGAAGGAAUAUUUGCUUUUUAGUCAAAAACGUACUAUACCUACUUUCUGUGAGUUUAAGUAAAAAAAAAAAAAACAACUAGAAUUUAAAAUAAGUAUUUAAAAAAAGGUAGUAGAGAAAUAAAGAUCAUCUAUGACUACUUUCAGAGUGGGUUAAGUAACUACCAGAAUAAGCCUAAAACAACAGGCUAUAAAUUAAUAACACAUUCUGGUAAGGCCGAAUUUUAGCCAUUUUUAAAAAUCUGGAAAGAAUAAAUGAGGCUUAUCUUUUCUUAGGUCAUUGUCUGAUGUAGUUUCUUACAUGGUAAUAGAUAGGUAUCAGUGCAUUUCUUUAAAACUGCUCUCAAACCUUAUCCAAAGGACAUGGUAAAGAUAUUACUUUUUUUUUUUCUGAUAAUUCCAAGGGUAACUUUCUCUUCAAUUACACCUUUAAUAGCCUGGCCAUUCUAACAAGGCAUAAUGCUAUAACAAGCCCGUGUGUGUUGAUAUCACAUGUAUAUAGCACUGUAUCCUUUUCAGAGCACUUUCAUAUGUUUUUCUUAUGUGAUUUACCAUAGCCCUGUGAGUUAGACAGAAGAGGGCAGGAUCCUCCGCUUUUGGAACAGGAAGGAGAGGCAUGGAGAAGUUGAGGGACAUGCUAACCUUCACAUAUUUAGUAAAUACUUUGACUGGGCCAGACCUAGUUUUUCUGUCUCCUAUAUCUGUGCUCUGUCAUUUAAAAUAUCCAUUGGAAAUGUCAUUGACUCAGGUUAGUAUGAUCAAAAAUUAGAGGAACUGUUCACAUGCUUAAUAGUCACACUCAAAAUAAUAUUGAUGUACUAUGGUUUGGGUAACGAAGUUAGUACCUGGAAUAUUUUAAGUGGGAAAUUAACACCAAUAAAAUAUUUUGGACCAUAAUCUGUAGCUUAAUGUUUUUGUAAAAUUUAGUACUUGAUCAUUCCAAUAAAGAUAUGACAUGUCAUCAGAGUAGACUAUUUAUAAAUAAUAGAGAUUUUUUGAGAUUUGAAAUAUGAACAGUAUGAAGACAUUAGAUACCAGACAAAUUACUUGAAAUUGCUAAAGUGGUUACUAUAUAAUACAUAACAUGUAAAUGACUUUUUAUUUGUGUACAUUUUUUCUAUGACUUUUUUGUUUAAGACAAUGAGUUAAUUAUUUUUCCUAAAGAUUCAUGACAAAAUAAAAUUCAAAAAAAAAUAAAAUUCACUUCAGAUCUUCUGAAUUGUAGUUUGGAGAUGACACAGUGCAGUGUUAAAAUGUAUAGGAAAUGACUGCCAAAACACGAUAAAAGUAACCUAGGAGACUUCAAAUGUUAGUCUAAUGAGUCCUUUGUGGUUCUUAGCCUUAUUAUUGCAAUAUAAUUCUGGAUAUUUCAUUGGAGGGCAUGUCCCCAACUGUCUCCCACGCUAGUUUUUGUUUUUGUUUUUUUUAGAGUUCUUAAUUCUUUAUAUAAUGAUUGCAUCUUAUUUAAGAAUAUACUUUGUUAGGUACUUGACCCUUAAGUCACUGCUAGGUAUAGCUAAUAUUUAUUGUUACUUUACGUGUCACACACUGUAUUAAUCUUUUGUGUGCAUUGUUACUCCUCAGCAGAGCCCUCUAAGGUGGAUACUGUUGUAACCUCUCAUUUUAUAUCUGAGAAAAUUGAGUCUUAAGGAAGUUAAGAAAUAUAGUUAAGAUUUUAAGUGGCAGAUUCAAGAUUUACAAGUCUGUAACUCAAGCAUUAUUGCUCUUACAGUUAGCAUAUUUUCUUUCUAGUCUUUGAAAGUGAUUGCAAAAAUAUAUUGAUUGUUGCAAUUACCAUAUAAAACUUUGAGGUGUUUGAUAGUACAGUUGAUCCUUGAACAAUGAAGGGAAAGUUAGGGAUGGAGACCUACCACACAGUUGAUAAUCGGCAUAUGCUAGUAAAUAUAGUUAUCUGCAAAUGCAGAUUUUCUUUUUUUAAAAUAAAUUUUUUAUUAAUUUUAGUGAGGCAGGGAGAGGGAGAGAGAGAUAGAAACAUCAAUGAUGAGGUAAUCAUUGAUCGGCUGCCUCCUGCAAGCCCCCAACUGGGGAUCAAGCUCGCAACCCAGGCAUGUGCCCUUGACCGGAAUUGAACCCAGGGCCCUUCAGUCCGCAGGCUGAUGCUCUCUCCACUGAGCCAAACCAGCUAGGGCCAUAUACAGAUUUUCAUCCACAGAGUUGACCCUUGAAUAAUAUGGGUUUAAAUUACACUGUCCAAUCCUAUAUAAUAAAAGGCUAAUAUGCAAAUUGACCAAAUGGCAGAACGACCAGUCACUAUGGUGCUCACUGACCACCAGGGGGCAGACGCUCAAUGCAGGAGCUGCCUCCUGGUGGUCAGUGUGCUCCCACAGGAGCAGCACCGCUCAGCCAGAAGUCAGCACUAGGGAUGUCCAACUGGUGGUUUAGGCCCGCUCCCUCCAGGCCUAAGCCAUUAGUCGGACAUUCCCCAAGUGCCCUCGGACAGUGAGAGUGCACUGUGGUCCCUCAGAGGGCGCACGCUGAGGGACCACACCACCCCAGGUGCACAAAUUUCGUGCACCUGGCCUCCAGUUUGGAUAUAAAUUGGCCUCUGCAGUCCAAACCUGUGUUGUUCAAGGAUCAACUGUUUUCAAAAAUAAUAUUAGGGGACUUUAUUAUUUUGUAGAUAUUUGGUAUAAUAAAAUGUUUAUCAUUGAUUUUUAAAAUAUAUUUUUUGUUAGGAUUUAUUUCUUUUGAAAGAUGAAAAAUUUUAAAUUUAUAAAUAUGUAUCAACCUUCUUUGAUUAGCAGUAUAAAUUGACUUUCAAACUAUUAAGUUGCAAGCCAAAGUUGUUACAUUCGGUCAUAACAUCUUGAAAGCAGCAAAUACUUGUCUCACAUUCAUAUAGGAAUAAUUAAUAAUUAAUUUGAUUUAUCUUGUAAAAUAUUUGAAAUGAAAUAUUUAUCUUAAACUUUUAUUUUAAGGGAAAAAUAUGUUUGAGAAUAUAGGUUUAAAAGACUGUUAAACAUUAUUUCUUUAAAAAAUGUAUUUUUACAUGAAAACAAUAUAUUUACAAUGUUCUUGAAACAAAAAUUUCACUUCUAUAUCCCAGAUCGUCUUAUUUUCAAAAUAAACAUUUUCAUUUGUCAGCUGAAAUUUCUGAUUAGAACUAAUAUUUGUGUAUUUUUGUGUUUAGUCAGAAUGUAAAUUUCACAGUGGAUUUUUUAAAUUAUCCUUAAUUUGGAAGAAAGCAAAUUAUAUGUUUAUCAAGUUACUACUGGGGAAAAUGGUAAUUUUAAUUCUUUUAAAACUAAUAAUAUGAUUGGUUAUGUUUGUAGUUUAUUUUACAUGUGUUUAGCACAGGCUGUACGUUUAAAAAUAUACUAUGGUCUGUAUUGAUCCAAAAAAUAUUUCAUAAAUUAAUAUAAUAAAGGUCAAGUUUUUCAUAGCUAAAUCUAAUUCUUUUAGAAGGAAAUUGUUGCCUUCUUUUUAAUUACAUUAAAUGAAAUGUAUUUAAAUGCUUUCAGCAUAUUUUGUAUACUAAAAAAACCAAAAGGGAUUAGUAUUGAGCCAAUGGCCAAGAGGUAAUAUUACUACCAUGUAGACUGUUACAGUGUAAAUUGUUUCACUUCCCCCAGAAUUUUAGAAACUAGAAGUCUGGGAGAUGCAGCAUCAGCUGUAGUUGGGUGAUUCAUCUUAAAAUUACUGUGUGACAUGGAGCAUAUGCCAACUUGCAAAACAUGCAUAAGUUCAUUAUGUAAUGGUUUGUUCAGGCAUGAGAUAUCAGCAAGCCACAUCUUGUGUGUUUUGUCUUACAUUUCUUUGUAGAACUAAAUUACAUGAGAUUUUGGAAAAUCAUUUGAAAUGCUUGCUGACUUGACCUCCCUGGUCAAAUAUUUAAAUGAUGGCAUUACUGGGUGGAUUCUAACCCAUGAUUCUAAUUAUGGAAUAAAGAGUAAUAUAGAUAUGAGACUGUGUAUAGGGUACUUUUUGUAUUAUACAUUAGCCUCCAUCAUAACACUUAUUAAAUUUCCAAGUCGAGCAGUUAACUAUUGUUGCUGUUCAUGUAACAAAACAUGCUUAUGAUAGUAAAAUGAGAAGUGCCCCCAAAUGCUAUUAUUUUUAAUUCACUUGUAACUGUUAACUCUUGUAAUUGUGUAUAACACAAUAAAAUUUGUAACAAUUUUAGCAUGAAAAAUAAAAGUUGUAUUAGUCAAGUA